rnacentral:rRNA from 1 species
AAACGUCAAAGGAAUUGACGGGACCGCACAAGCGUGGAUGAUGUGGAUUAAUUCGAUGCAACGCGAAAAACCUUACCUACCCUUGACAUGUCUGGAAUCCCGAAGAGAUUUGGGAGUGCUCGCAAGGAGAACCGGAACACAGGUGCUGCAUGGCUGUCGUCAGCUCGUGUCGUGAGAUGUUGGGUUAAGUCCCGCAACGAGCGCAACCCUUGUCAUUAGUUGCUACGAAAGGGCACUCUAAUGAGACUGCCGGUGACAAACCGGGGGAAGUGGGGAUGACGUCAAGUCCUCAUGGCCCUUAUGGGUAGGGCUUCACACGUCAUACAAUGGUCGGGACAGAGGGUCGCCAACCCGCGAGGGGGAGCCAAUCCCAGAAACCCGAUCGUAGUCCGGAUUGUAGUCUGCAACUCGACUACAUGAGGUCGGAAUCGCUAGUAAUCGCGGAUCAGCAUGUCGCGGUGAAUACGUUCCCGGGUCUU